rnacentral:rRNA from 1 species
GACGAACGCUGGAGGCGUGCUUAACACAUGCAAGUCGAACGAUGAAAUGGAGCUUGCUCCAUGGAUUAGUGGCGAACAGGUGAGUAACACGUGAAUAACCUGCCCUUAAUUUUGGAAUAACCCAGGGAAACCUGGGCUAAUACCGGAUAAGUAAACCUGUGGCAUCACAUGGUUUUGGAAAGUUUUUCGAUUAAGGAUGGAUUCGCGGCCUAUCAGCUUGUUGGUGAGGUAAUGGCUCACCAAGGCGACGACGGGUAGCCGGCCUGAGAGGGUGAACGGCCACACUGGGACUGAGACACGGCCCAGACUCCUACGGGAGGCAGCAGUGGGGAAUAUUGCGCAAUGGACGAAAGUCUGACGCAGCGACGCCUCGUGAGGGACGAAGGUCUUCGGAUUGUAAACCUCUUUCAGCAGGGACGAAGCGAAAGUGACGGUACCUGCAGAAGAAGCACCGGCUAACUAUGUGCAGCCGCCGCGGUAA